rnacentral:rRNA from 1 species
GAUGAACGCUGGCGGCGUGCCUAAUACAUGCAAGUCGAGCGAACGGACGAGAAGCUUGCUUCUCUGAUGUUAGCGGCGGACGGGUGAGUAACACGUGGAUAACCUACCUAUAAGACUGGGAUAACUUCGGGAAACCGGAGCUAAUACCGGAUAAUAUUUUGAACCGCAUGGUUCAAAAGUGAAAGACGGUCUUGCUGUCACUUAUAGAUGGAUCCGCGCUGCAUUAGCUAGUUGGUAAGGUAACGGCUUACCAAGGCAACGAUGCAUAGCCUACCUGAGAGGGUGAGCGGCCACACUGGAACUGAGACACGGUCCAGACUCCUACGGGAGGCAGCAGUAGGGAAUCUUCCGCAAUGGGCGAAAGCCUGACGGAGCAACGCCGCGUGAGUGAUGAAGGUCUUCGGAUCGUAAAACUCUGUUAUUAGGGAAGAACAUAUGUGUAAGUAACUGUGCACAUCUUGACGGUACCUAAUCAGAAAGCCACGGCUAACUACGUG